CAGUAGCCACGGUAACACGUAGGGUGCGAGCGUUAAUCGGAAUUACUGGGCGUAAAGCGCGCGCAGGCGGAUCGGUCAGUCUGUCUUAAAAGUUCGGGGCUUAACCCCGUGAUGGGAUGGAAACUGCCAAUCUAGAGUAUCGGAGAGGAAAGUGGAAUUCCUAGUGUAGCGGUGAAAUGCGUAGAUAUUAGGAAGAACACCAGUGGCGAAGGCGACUUUCUGGACGAAAACUGACGCUGAGGCGCGAAAGCCAGGGGAGCGAACGGGAUUAGAUACCCGGGUAGUCCCUGUCUCUUAUACA
rnacentral:rRNA from 1 species